rnacentral:rRNA from 1 species
AUACGGAGGGUGCAAGCGUUAUCCGGAAUCAUUGGGUUUAAAGGGUCCGCAGGCGGGAAAAUAAGUCAGUGGUGAAAGCCUACAGCUCAACUGUAGAACUGCCAUUGAAACUGUUUUUCUUGAGUAUAGAUGAAGUGGGCGGAAUACAUCAUGUAGCGGUGAAAUGCAUAGAUAUGAUAUAGAACACCGAUUGCGAAGGCAGCUCACUAAGCUAUUACUGACGCUCAGGGACGAAAGCGUGGGGAGCGAACAGGAUUAGAAACCCUAGUAGUCC